rfam:Operophtera brumata OBRT01_Sc00302, whole genome shotgun sequence.
CGUUCUAUGGCCGAAUUGGUAAAGGCAUCGCCGAUCACAAGCUAGGAUGCGGGUUCGAGUUCCGCUGGAACGG